UUGAACGCUGGCGGCAGGCCUAACACAUGCAAGUCGAGCGGUAGCACAGAGAGCUUGCUCUCGGGUGACGAGCGGCGGACGGGUGAGUAAUGUCUGGGAAACUGCCUGAUGGAGGGGGAUAACUACUGGAAACGGUAGCUAAUACCGCAUAAUGUCGCAAGACCAAAGUGGGGGACCUUCGGGCCUCAUGCCAUCAGAUGUGCCCAGAUGGGAUUAGCUAGUAGGUGGGGUAACGGCUCACCUAGGCGACGAUCCCUAGCUGGUCUGAGAGGAUGACCAGCCACACUGGAACUGAGACACGGUCCAGACUCCUACGGGAGGCAGCAGUGGGGAAUAUUGCACAAUGGGCGCAAGCCUGAUGCAGCCAUGCCGCGUGUGUGAAGAAGGCCUUCGGGUUGUAAAGCACUUUCAGCGGGGAGGAAGGCGUUAAGGUUAAUAACCUUGGCGAUUGACGUUACCCGCAGAAGAAGCACCGGCUAACUCCGUGCCAGCAGCCGCGGUAAUACGGAGGGUGCAAGCGUUAAUCGGAAUUACUGGGCGUAAAGCGCACGCAGGCGGUCUGUCAAGUCGGAUGUGAAAUCCCCGGGCUCAACCUGGGAACUGCAUUCGAAACUGGCAGGCUAGAGUCUUGUAGAGGGGGGUAGAAUUCCAGGUGUAGCGGUGAAAUGCGUAGAGAUCUGGAGGAAUACCGGUGGCGAAGGCGGCCCCCUGGACAAAGACUGACGCUCAGGUGCGAAAGCGUGGGGAGCAAACAGGAUUAGAUACCCUGGUAGUCCACGCCGUAAACGAUGUCGAUUUGGAGGUUGUGCCCUUGAGGCGUGGCUUCCGGAGCUAACGCGUUAAAUCGACCGCCUGGGGAGUACGGCCGCAAGGUUAAAACUCAAAUGAAUUGACGGGGGCCCGCACAAGCGGUGGAGCAUGUGGUUUAAUUCGAUGCAACGCGAAGAACCUUACCUGGUCUUGACAUCGACAGAACUUUCCAGAGAUGGAUUGGUGCCUUCGGGAACUGUGAGACAGGUGCUGCAUGGCUGUCGUCAGCUCGUGUUGUGAAAUGUUGGGUUAAGUCCCGCAACGAGCGCAACCCUUAUCCUUUGUUGCCAGCGGUUCGGCCGGGAACUCAAAGGAGACUGCCAGUGAUAAACUGGAGGAAGGUGGGGAUGACGUCAAGUCAUCAUGGCCCUUACGACCAGGGCUACACACGUGCUACAAUGGCAUAUACAAAGAGAAGCGACCUCGCGAGAGCAAGCGGACCUCAUAAAGUAUGUCGUAGUCCGGAUUGGAGUCUGCAACUCGACUCCAUGAAGUCGGAAUCGCUAGUAAUCGUAGAUCAGAAUGCUACGGUGAAUACGUUCCCGGGCCUUGUACACACCGCCCGUCACACCAUGGGAGUGGGUUGCAAAAGAAGUAGGUAGCUUAACCUUCGGGAGGGCGCUUACCACUUUGUGAUUCAUGACUGGGGUG
rnacentral:rRNA from 1 species